UACGAAGGGAGCUAGCGUUGUUCGGAAUGACUGGGCGUAAAGGGUGUGUAGGCGGUUAUACACGUCAGAUGUGAAAUCCCCGGGCUUAACCUGGGAAUGGCAUUUGAUACGGUAUAGCUAGAGAUUGGUAGAGGGUAGUGGAAUUGCGAGUGUAGAGGUGAAAUUCGUAGAGAUUCGCAGGAACACCGGUGGCGAAGGCGGCUACCUGGGCCAAAACUGACGCUGAGGCACGAAAGCGUGGGGAGCAAACAGG
rnacentral:rRNA from 1 species